rnacentral:piRNA from 1 species
UGCAAUGUGAUAGCUGAUUCCUGG